rnacentral:misc_RNA from 1 species
UACAUUCACUUUGUUAUUUGUAAAGCUGAUGCCUUUACACAACAUAUCACAAUAAACAUUUUGUCUAGAUCAAUUAGGGUCAAAGUUACAAAGUAUAAAUAGAGUACAACCGAUUCUCAGUUCUACAGCAUAUACGUGUAAAAUUUCAUAAACAUCGGUCAAGCCGUUUCGAAGAAGUGUGGUAACUAAUAUUGUGAGAGGAGAAUUUUAUAUAUUAUUUAAGUAGCUGUGAAUUAAUUAAAAAAAUUGUGGGAGCUGUAACGGUAUAUCUGGUGAUGUUUAUACAGUUUGAUCUAGCCUCCAGGAAACAAAGUGAACAAACACAGUGAACCAGGUUAGGAAAAGCAAAUCCAGCAGUUAGGUUAUAUUAAUAUAGUCUAUAAGUGUAGGUAAAUAAUGUUAAAUGAUGAUUGUGAAUAAUUAUUUUGAUUUAUUGUCUGUAGACAAUUUUUUUUUGGCAUACACAUUAGUGAUUCAGCCAGUCACAAGAUACAUAUUAUAGCCCUAACUAACCUAAAUAAUCCUAACUACCCUAA